UAAUUUCGAAUUGUAAGUUAGGUAUUAUUUGGCAUUUCUUCCAUACCCAUCAAGUUUUAAUAAUUCGAAAAAUGGCAAUAAUUUGUAAAGAGUGCAAUAAGCCAAAAUUUUCUCAUUUUUUUGGUUUACUUUUGUAUAAUAACGAAAUAGGUACUUCGAUAUUAGCCAAACACCAUACGCAUCAAAUUGUCCAUGAACUUACGCAUCGUCCAAGUUUCAGUAGAGACGUGAUGAUGUUGUAAAAUAUCAUUCUCAGAAGUAUUCUUACUUGAUAAAAAUUUUGUAUAUUAGCUGGAGAGAGAGGAUGUCUCCGACAGGUUGAAUGGAAUAGUCAAACUGUACAACAACUUUAUGUUUUAUCUGAUUGUAUUAUGUUAAUGUUGUUUCAUAAAAUCCAUUGUGCAUAAGUAUUAUGUGCUUGCUCUACUUUGUAUGCAUGGAUAUGAUGUACGUAAGUAGUUAUGCUCGCGCCUUUUCUUGAUUUUUUUUUUUUUUUUCUUAAAAUUGAUUUAAUAAUUUUUUUAAUCAUGCGAAAUUAAUAAAGAGAUAAGUAAAUAGAGUCAAAUAUUAAUUUUCUGAUUUUCCUUUCCAUUCCUCACUUUUAAUACCUCUUAUAAUUUCAACAAAAAUUACUUCAAAAUUCUACUAUUCCGUUCUCCCUUCAAUUAAAAAUUACGAGCUCUGACAAUGAGAGGAUUACGAGUAAAAGUUGGUAUUUAUUGGUAGGGCACUGUAUAACAAUUCUUUAUAAGUUUAUAGUAUCUCAAUUCCAGUUCGAAUUAAAUUAUAAAAUACAAUUUAUGUAGAAUUCAAACACAUUUAUAUUUAUAUAUGUAUUCAAUACGUAUGACUUCAAGAUUUGAAUGGAGGGUUAAAAAUUAUUCUUCAAUUAUUUCAAUUUACUUCACUGCUGAUUGAGCACUGAUUAAUUCAAAUAAUUUUAAAUUAUUCAUUUUUCACAAAAAUUCUGAUUUUUAAAUUUGAAAUUGAUAUUAAUUUCCCAGAAGGAUUCAAUGCUUAAAAUCGCAUGAAUAAUUUCAGGGAAAAAAACUAGCCAUUUCCACUAUUUUUAAUGAUUUAGGAUUUAUCAUUAAAUUUUUUUCAGAAAUUAUGGUUUUGGAGUUUCAAUAACUAUUUACAUUGAAAUUUGAUGGACAUCUAUCUAUACCACAGUACCUAUCGAAGUAAUCAGCCUAAUUACCUGAAUCUUUCAUAUUUCUUGCUGCUCAUCUCUAAUUUUUUUCGAGUUGAAAGUAACCUUACACGUAUUAAAAACUCAAUUUCACAGCAAUAGUUAGUUACUUAUCACAUCUUGAGAAUAUUAUGAUAAGUAGGUAUAGGUAGGUACUAAGAACACAAAUGCACUAUUAUCUACCUUUCAUUCACAGUCUCGUGCGGUCGAUGUGCUUUCCAACGUUAAUCACGAUCUAGAGAUAUGAUAAAAGCACAUUUCUUUCGUAAAAUUGCAAAUAGAAUUUGAAAAACGAACAAUAAUCAUGUGAUAAUUGGGUAACAACUAUCGUAUUUUAAAUGAAACGAUCAAAUAAGCAUACUUACCUAGAUAAGAUAUAGGUAAUGUUAUGUAAGUUGCUGUGUAAAUGUACUCGAGUGUGAAUUUUAUUGGAGUUCAUGAACAUCGCAAAGUUGAAAAAAAUUCUUGAAACGAGUAUUUUCUAUGAUAGUGACGAUUAUUGGUGAAACUAAAAAUUUUUACUGAUAAGUUGAAAAUUACAAUUUAUAUUGAGACGAUUUGUAAGUAUGUAAUUAUUGGAUAAUUUUUUUUUAUUUUUUGACAAAAUUAAAAUUAUUAUAGCAAGAUGUAAACAUUGCAUAACUCUUUGAAACACAAGUUUUUUUUUCAAUUGAACGGCUGGUUUCAUUAAGCAAUUAUACUUAAGCAUUCAAAUUAAAUAAGUACUCUUUGGAAAUAUAUCGAAAUGAUAUUCUAACUGUAAAAACAUGUGAUGAGUAACAGACUUGUAACUUGUAAGCUACAUAUAUACAUAAUAAGCGUUGUUGAAAUGACUUUUUUAAAUCAGAGAAUAUUUUAUGCAUUUAUUACAAAAAUACAAAUAGCCCAUAGGUAGGUACCUAUACAUAUUACAUACCUAUGUACAAUUUUUCAACAUUUUGUGUAACAUGAAAUUCUUCGCUCAAUGGGGCAAUUGGCUUCAGAUGUUAUGUAAAGUUCAAAAUAUGUACUUCCAACUCCACCUUUCAUGUCUAAAGUAGUACCGUAGCAUUUACAUUCCUUGAGCAAAUUUUCGAUUACAAUAUAAGUAAUCACGCAAUCGUUUUGUGUUUUGCCUGAUGGAUAUUUCACUUGAACAGUCGUCUUCCGGAAAAUAAGUUUAUCUUUCUUCACCUUUUCUACAAACAUUUGUCUAAAAAAUUAGAAUCAUUAUAUUAUUAGCUAUACAUAUAGGUACCUAGUUAUAGGUAUAUUUAGAACAGCUGUCUGUCACCUAUAACCGAAUUCUAAAUCCAAAGAUCAAAAAUACUCACAAAUCGCCAUUUUCUCUGCUUCCAUAAGUUGUAUUAGAAUGAAGACACUCCGUUUUUUCGCCACCGAAUCCAAUAAAACCAAAUGAUGGCACCGGCAAAGAAGGAGGAACAAUAGUCGAGUUUUUCGAUGAUCCGAUAACGAAACACUUCGCGACACAAACACUCACAAUAAUGAGAAAAAAUAUCCUCAAAAACGUUCUAAUUCCAAUGAAAAUCAUAUCCAAAGCAAAUCGCAAUUAUAAGUACCUAUUUUAUGUAUUAUUUCAAAAAACAACAGGUAUAUGAACCCGAAUUGAUUUGCAGCAAAAAAAAACGAAAGAUGGAACACAUUAGCUACAAUUGGCUCGUUUUCUCCACGUUAUUGCGGUUAUUUUCAAACCAACGUGCUCGGCGCUCGCAGAACUGCAUUCUUAUGUUUUCUCUUUCACAUUAAAAAAUAUCUUACAUGUAAUCCGAGUACCUAAGUAAGUGCGUGAUUCAUCAAAUAAAAUAUAUUCGAUCGAAAAUUUAAAAAAUGAGAAAAAAAAUCCCAAGAAUAUUAUUCCUAUAAUGUUUCUUAAAUACCUAUUUAUGCUUAAAUAUGCGAUGCUUGAGCUCUGGGCACAGAAUUAGUACCUACUUAACUAUCUACUUUAAAUCUGGGUAAGAAGAGAUCGUCUUAUUGUCGAGUGAUGAAGUUAAUUUUGAUGGAAGCAGUUAUGCCAGGUAAGUUGUUAGUGGGUGGGUUCACUUAUACCUGCGGAUUAUUUUUCAAAUUUAUUUAGGUAGGCAUAUUAUUUCUGAUAUAUUGACUGUGGGUUAAAAAUUAAUUGAGAAACACAGGUAGAGAAAAUUCACAUAUUAAAUUUUCCUUACAGUAAACUGAUUUCGAACAUUUGGAGUGUUCACUGCGGUGCCAAAAGGGAGGGGAGCAAAACGAAAAAGUUUCAAAUUAAAGUGGCUUUAUAAAUAUCGAUGUAAAACCCAACUCCUUCUUUUCCUCGAGCGACGAUCAGCAAAGAAUUAUGUACCUAAAAACGGAACCUCUCGGUUACUCAGUCAUCAAUUUUUCAAUUGGACUAAAAAGUUGCACCGAGAUCAAUAAAAAAAUAUGAUGUCCUGCUAGAAUUUGAAUUUUCCAAACUACGUAUAGGUAAAAAAUGUCGUACCCAAACAGAUAUGAAAUAAGAGUCAAAUUAUGUUAAUUAGCUUAGAAAAUAAUUAUGGUUUCACGUUAUUUUUCUCCAAGUUCAGUGACGUUUCAACGCCCAAUUUUGACACCCAUCAGGAAAACAGUAUUUCCUAGGUACCAUUGCUUUCAAAAAAAAUGUAUUGAAUGCCAAAAAAUGUAGGUAUGUAUUUUCUUAAAAACUCGUUUCAGUAUCCAUCUAUCAUUGCUGCUCCAGACUGAAGUGAUGUGUCUGAAUGUUUGCCUAUCGAUGAGAAAGAACGGCGAUAAACGUAGAUAUGUAUCUUUGUGAUCAGUCAGAAACCACUUACUAUGGGUCAUUAAUGAAAGUUUCAUCGAGUAUGACGGAAUGCAUAUCUACCUAUUCACGUAAAUAAGAGACGAGUAUAGGUAAGCAAAAAGUUACCUGGGCAGAGAUACCCGAAAUAGCUAUUCACCGGGAAAAAAAUUCAUAAAUUCAUUCGCGAAUUUCCUAUACCGGCUUGCUAUCAAUGCACUGUACAUACGUAAUACGUAUUAUCAUUCAUAAUAAUAAGUACAGUAUACCUAUCUGAAUUUGACACUUCCAAGUACUUAAAUACAUAGCAAAACAAAUUUAUAUCACCAAAGCUAGUAGGUAGUAUAGGUACCUAACCCACGCAGGAUCAGCUAUACUUACUUACAAUGCUAAUUAGCGACAAAUAAAAAUAAUCUUAUCAUUUGACAGUAAAAAGAACUUUUUAUAUUGGAAUUGAAGAUAAUGUUUCAAUUUUCUACGAUCACGCCAAACAUACAUCUGACUUUAAGCACUAUACAAAUAUUAUAAAGGAAAUGAAUAUAAUACUUAUAAUUCUUAAAUUCGUUAUAGGUACUUAUGUUUGUUCAAUGAAUCAUAAUUUAUACUCACUUUGAUUGCCAUGAUUUCUAUUAAAUAACUGAUCGUCGAAAUUAUUGCAACAGUAUCGCGGGUUCAUUCUUUUUCAAAGCUUAAGUUUUCAAGAUGAAUUUCCGUGCAGUUGGAAUGUUAACAAAAGUUGUUUUUCUUGUAAUUUUUCUUGUCUGUUUUUCAGAGAGUUUUCUCGUCAUUCCUUUGAAAAAUUUCAAAAGCAAUGCUAAAUUUUUGCAGUCAUCUCAAUCCUCUGUUGGAUCAAGCGGAGGAAGCAAAAAUUGCGCCCAUUCUAAUAAAACUUUUGGGAAACGAGAAAAUGGAGAUUUGCAAACAUAUGUGGAAAAAAUAGAAAAAAGUAAAAACUGGAUGGGAAAGAAAGUUGUCGUCGAAGUGAAUUAUCCAUCAGGCAAAACCGAAAAUCAUUGCGAUAUUACUUAUAUUUUAGUAGAAAAUAUAAACCAGAACUGUGGGUGCAAAAAAGAAAAGGUAGAGUUGAAAGGUGGCGGACCUCAUUUUAAAUAUUUUAAUAUUUCAAUCACAUCAGACUCCGGAUGUUCUAAUGAGCAUAAAAUUUACGGUUACACAAAUUGUUGAAAAUUAAUGUUACAUGUACUAUUUUUAAUGCUUGUGCCCAUUCUUGUGCCUAUAUAUAAUAAAUGGUUUUCUUUCUGAAA